GAUGAACGCUGGCGGCGUGCCUAAUACAUGCAAGUCGAGCGAAUGGAUUAAGAGCUUGCUCUUAUGAAGUUAGCGGCGGACGGGUGAGUAACACGUGGGUAACCUGCCCAUAAGACUGGGAUAACUCCGGGAAACCGGGGCUAAUACCGGAUAACAUUUUGAGCCGCAUGGUUCGAAAUUGAAAGGCGGCUUCGGCUGUCACUUAUGGAUGGACCCGCGUCGCAUUAGCUAGUUGGUGAGGUAACGGCUCACCAAGGCAACGAUGCGUAGCCGACGUGGGAGGGUGAGCGGCCACACUGGGACUGGGACACGGCCCAGACUCGUACGGGAGGGAGCAGUAGGGAAUCUUCCGCAAUGGACGAAAGUCUGACGGAGCAACGCCGCGUGAGUGAUGAAGGCUUUCGGGUCGUAAAACUCUGUUGUUAGGGAAGAACAAGCGCUAGUUGAAUAAGCUGACACCUUGACGGUACCUAACCAGAAAGCCACGGCUAACUACGUGCCAGCCGCCGCCGUAA
rnacentral:rRNA from 1 species